UUAUUUAAUGUAGGCGUAAAAUUUGUCUAGAAAAAUUGCGUAUUUUAAAAUAAAAAUAACUUUGAAGUCGCCCUCACCAAAAAGCACAACUUCGAAGUAAUUUAUACUUGGCUAUAGUGACGGCAACUGAAAAUGUGUGACUUUAAAGUAAUGUUUACUGCAAGGUAACGAAUGGCACUAUAGCGUCACUUUAAAGUCGCAGCAAAGUUUCCGCUGCCACUUCAUAGUUCCAUCUGGAACUUUAACUUCUAUCUUUGUCUAACAAAAAUGUUACUUCAGUUGUAGGUACUUCGUGUGCUUGUGUGCACGUGCUCGCGCUAUUGUGGAUUAAAAAUAACAAAGAAAGGUAACGUUCUUUUUAUUCGAAGGCAUGGAUUCUUUUAAAAUUGUUUCAACGUGGGAAAAAAAAGGAAUUUAUUUCUCUGUUGUUCCCCAUCAAUGGGAAAAUAAUGGAGUUCUGUUGUGGCCAGAACAUUUGAGCCAUUCCCCAAGGGAAAACUUGAGAUCGAAUGCUGCUAGCGUACCUGAAGAGGGAUGGGUGGAGUACUCCUGUGUCCUUAAAUUCUCGGGAAUUCUUACAUUUGGAGACGCUUUGGCAAUUGAGAAACAGCUAACACAGUGCAUUGACACAGAGUCAGAGGAAACGUUCGUAUUUUCAACGAUUUGCAGGUCCAAUUAACAUAGUAAAAAAAAAAAAGAUGUAAGGAGUCCGCAA